rnacentral:piRNA from 1 species
UGCAUUUUAUGGUGGUCAUUAACAGGC